GACGAACGCUGGCGGCGUGCUUAACACAUGCAAGUCGAACGGUAAGGCUCCUUCGGGAGUACACGAGUGGCGAACGGGUGAGUAACACGUGAGCAAUCUGCCCUUGACUCUGGGAUAACAGCUGGAAACAGCUGCUAAUACCGGAUACGACCUCACUAGGCAUCUAGAGAGGUGGAAAGUUCCGGCGGUCAAGGAUGAGCUCGCGGCCUAUCAGCUUGUUGGUGAGGUAACGGCUCACCAAGGCUUCGACGGGUAGCCGGCCUGAGAGGGCGACCGGCCACACUGGGACUGAGAUACGGCCCAGACUCCUACGGGAGGCAGCAGUGGGGAAUAUUGCGCAAUGGGCGAAAGCCUGACGCAGCAACGCCGCGUGCGGGAUGACGGCCUUCGGGUUGUAAACCGCUUUCAGCAGGGACGAAGCUUUUGUGACGGUACCUGCAGAAGAAGCACCGGCCAACUACGUGCCAGCAGCCGCAGUAACAC
rnacentral:rRNA from 1 species